GCCCCCGUAGCCCAACGGCAGAGGCAUCCGACUUAAAAUCGGCUCAGUGUCGGUUCGAAUCCGACCGGGGGCA
rnacentral:tRNA from 1 species